rnacentral:ncRNA from 2 species
GCGCAUGAUGUGCUCAACUGGAAUUACCAUCUGAACGCGGGAUACCGCA